rnacentral:rRNA from 1 species
GGAAACAGGUGCUAAUACCGUAUAACACUAUUUUCCGCAUGGAAGAAAGUUGAAAGGCGCUUUUGCGUCACUGAUGGAUGGACCCGCGGUGCAUUAGCUAGUUGGUGAGGUAACGGCUCACCAAGGCCACGAUGCAUAGCCGACCUGAGAGGGUGAUCGGCCACACUGGGACUGAGACACGGCCUAGACUCCUACGGGAGGCAGCAGUAGGGAAUCUUCGGCAAUGGACGAAAGUCUGACCGAGCAACGCCGCGUGAGUGAAGAAGGUUUUCGGAUCGUAAAACUCUGUUGUUAGAGAAGAACAAGGAUGAGAGUAGAACGUUCAUCCCUUGACGGUAUCUAACCAGAAAGCCACGGCUAACUACGUGCCAGCAGCCGCGGUAAUACGUAGGUGGCAAGCGUUGUCCGGAUUUAUUGGGCGUAAAGCGAGCGCAGGCGGUUUCUUAAGUCUGAUGUGAAAGCCCCCGGCUCAACCGGGGAGGGUCAUUGGAAACUGGGAGACUUGAGUGCAGAAGAGGAGAGUGGAAUUCCAUGUGUAGCGGUGAAAUGCGUAGAUAUAUGGAGGAACACCAGUGGCGAAGGCGGCUCUCUGGUCUGUAACUGACGCUGAGGCUCGAAAGCGUGGGGAGCGAACAGGAUUAGAUACCCUGGUAGUCCACGCCGUAAACGAU